AUCCCGUUUAGCCGCCGUUGCAAU
rnacentral:siRNA from 1 species